rnacentral:rRNA from 1 species
GACGAAGGGGGCUAGCGUUGUUCGGAAUUACUGGGCGUAAAGGGCGCGUAGGCGGCCUGUUAAGUCGAACGUGAAAUCCCCGGGCUCAACCCGGGAACUGCGUCCGAUACUGGCAGGCUUGAAUCCGGGAGAGGGAUGCGGAAUUCCAGGUGUAGCGGUGAAAUGCGUAGAUAUCUGGAGGAACACCGGUGGCGAAGGCGGCAUCCUGGACCGACACUGACGCUGAGGAGCGAAAGCCAGGGGAGCAAACGGG